AAAAGUCACCAGUGAGAUCCAGUCUCUGCACAAAUACACUCCCUGGCUGAGGCCACGGGUCAGAAGGGCGCUGGUGAAGUCUGCGCUCGCCCCUCUGCAGAAGCCACACCCCGCGGCCUGGCUGGAAGGCCACCGGCUGAGCAGGAGGGGAACUCGGAACUCCAGCGGGCUCCCUUCAUCCUUUCUUUCUGGAGGAAACGGUUGGGAGAUCCCAGGAUGGAAUAUGGAAUGUCACAGAAGAACCUGACUGCAUCAUGAAUGCAUGAAACAGCCUCACUGAAGAUGGUGCGGGGAAGCUGCUGACCUGGGUGGAUUUGGAAAUGAGUGGAGUCCGUGAGACUAAAGCAUUAUUCACGGUAGCCAAGACGUGGAAGCAACCCAAGUGCCCAUCGACCAAUGAUUGGAUAAAGAGGAUGUGGAAGGAAGCUCUGACACAUACCAGGACGCGGAUGAACCAUGAAGACAUUAGGCUAAGUGAAAUAGUAAGCCGGAUGCAAAAGAACACAUAAUAUGAUUCCACUUACAUGGGGUCCCUGGAGGAGGCAAAUCAUGGAGAGGGAAGUUUGAGAUUACAAGAACAUAGCCUCUGUGAGAGCUUCUGCUGUAAGACUCAGCCGACUCCGUGAACCCUGCGCCCCCAGCCCACCCGGAGCUCGAGACCCAGAGGCCGGCCAGCUCCGCCCUCUCACUCGGGGAGCGCAAGCGUCUGUCGUCCAGUCUGGAAAGCUCUCUGUCUGCGGGUGUGAAGAGGCUCUGUACCCAGCUGGAGGAACUAAGCAGGAAACCUGUUUGGACUCUUUAUCUAAGGACCUUUAUCACAAACAAUGUGAAAAAUAGGCUGACUCCAGCAAAAGCUUUCUGAGCAGCUCUGUGACCCGUAAGGCCUGGUAGAUGGACUGGCUUCCUCGUCCUCGCCCCUAGAGCCAUGUCACCGCUAUGGGGAGGCUUUGGAAGGAAAUGACUUGGGCAUUCUUGAGAAGCUGAGGACAGAUAAGGACAUGAGUCAUAAGUGGCUCCAUAAUAACAAUCACAGUGCAUUUCAUCCUAAAUCUACAUUAAUGAAUAUGAGAAGAUUUAAGGGGACGGGGGUGGACACUGGAGGAAGGAUGGACUCACCAACAGGGAGGCAGUGGUCAUAUGGUGGCCAUCUGACCUUUACCUGGCCCUUCAAGGCAGCCCGAGUCUCCCAGCAUGCCCAGCGGUGGCCUGGACUCCCUUGCUUGAUCCUGGGAUUCUCCCAGCAUGCACAGUGGUGGCCUGGACUCCUCCCCAUCUUGAUCCUGGGAUUCUCCCAGCAUGCACAGUGGUGGCCUGGACUCCUCCCCAUCUUGAUCCUGGGAUUCUCCCAGCAUGCACAGUGGUGGCCUGGACUCCUCCCCAUCUUGAUCCUGGGAUUCUCCCAGCAUGCACAGUGGUGGCCUGGACUCCUCCCCAUCUUGAUCCUGGGAUUCUCCCAGCAUGCGCAGUGGUGGCCUGGACUCCUCCCCAUCUUGAUCCUGGGAUUCUCCCAGCAUGCACAGCGGUGGCCUGGACUCCUCCCUAUCUUGAUCCUGGGAUUCUCCCAGCAUGCACAGCAGUGGCUAGACCCUCCCUGGGGGUGGAAAUGCAGGCCAGCUGCCCCAGAGGCUCCUUGCUCUUCUAUGAAAAGAAGGAUGAGCUCCAAGCCUUCUGCUAGAGUAUACUGCACAAUACUGUAGCCACACUUAGCUAUUACAUUUAAAUUCAAAUUAAUUAGUUAAAUAAAAUUUAAAAUUCAAUUCUUCAGCCACACUAGCCAUAUUUCAAAGGUUCAAUAGCCACUGUAUUGGACAGUGCAGACCUAGAACAUUCCAUAUUAGCAGGAAGUUCUGUUCACAGAGUUCUCCUGGGGCAAAGCUCUGAUUCUGACCUCAGGGCCACCGUCUCCCAGUCUGGGUGGCGAGGUCGCCUCGAGGAUCAGUUGCUUCACAUCUCCUCAGUGGCCCUGCAGCACUGAGCAAUUCCAGAAGCAAGAGGAAAAGCUCAAGAGGGCUCCCCCUUCCUGCCCUCUGCUCAGUGGAUUUUUCCGGAAUAUCCCCCAGUGUGUGAGCAACAAAUGAAACUGCAGCCUUGUUGGUGUCCCAGGAAAAUGGAGGGCAGCUGGAGAAGGCUGGCUGGAGGGAAUGAGGCUGCCAGCCCCCUGCUGGGGAGUGACCUCAGAUGACGUAAAUCCACCUUCACUAAUUCAAGCUCCAGCACCACGCACUGAAGGCAUGGAGCGCCCUUCCCCUCCCCAAGCCUCCAUAAUUGCUUUAUUCUUAUGCCAGAAUUUUAUCUGUGUUGAAAUUUUCUUUUUUACAUCCUAUUAAAAGUGUUAAUAAACUGUAUUUAAGACCUUACUUUGCAAUUAUGUUGAGUAGACUAAAUAAAUCAACACUGGCUCUUAGUCUGUUCAAGGGAAAAAACUGAACUCCUGCUAAUUUAACAAAUAUUUUGAAAAGUCAGAGCUGAUAAACGUUUUAAUUGUCUCCAAAAUAAGCAUAUUUAAUUU
rnacentral:lncRNA from 1 species